rnacentral:rRNA from 1 species
CAAGUCGAGCGCUUCACUUCGGUGAGGAGCGGCGGACGGGUUAGUAACGCGUGGGAACAUACCCUUUUCUAAGGAAUAGCCACUGGAAACGGUGAGUAAUACCUUAUACGCCCCUCGGGGGAAAGAUUUAUCGGUGAAGGAUUGGCCCGCGUUAGAUUAGAUAGUGGGUGGGGUAACGGCCUACCAAGUCGACGAUCUAUAGCUGGUUUGAGAGGAUGAUCAGCAACACUGGGACUGAGACACGGCCCAG